UACGUAGGGUGCAAGCGUUAAUCGGAAUUAUUGGGCGUAAAGGGUGCGCAGGCGGAUGUAUAAGUCAGAUGUGAAAUCCCCGGGCUUAACCUGGGAAUUGCGUUUGAACUAUAUGACUAGAGUGUGAUAGAGGGGAGUGGAAUUCCAUGUGUAGCAGUGAAAUGACGUAGAGAUGUGGAAGAACACCGAUGGCGAAGGCAGCUCCCUGGAUUAGCACUGACGCUCAUGCGAACGA
rnacentral:rRNA from 1 species